CGCGGAGCUCAGCCUUAGUCUCGCGAAAUUGAGCGAGGUUACGGAAGCCGAAAGGAUUGGGCCAAGCUUUUCUGGAGCUAAGGGAAGACUGCGGAUUUGAGGCCCUGGAGAUAUAAAGAUAAACAGAACAAAACAAAACAAAACAACCCUGGUUCUUGGCUGGCACACAGUUCAAUGGAGGAGUAGACAUAAGAAGAAACAAAUAUGGCACAGUGUAUAUUUUCUGGACUUCAACCUGAAACUGCUAUCAGAUAUCUUGACACUUCGAAUAAAGUCUACACAAAAGAGAACAGAGCUGAGAGAUGGAAAGAUGCUGAAUCCCAAUGACAUCCUUUGAAAUGCUGGGUGAAGCUGGGCCUGAAGAUAGAGCUACCUCUAUAGUUUUCAGAUACUUAUGUCAAUAAAUACUCUUGUUUGCUUAGAUAACCUUGAGUUAGAUUUUAUAUUACCUCCAAAAGAGUACUAUAUUGGAUAUUUUCCAUUUGCCCUCCAAAUGCACUCUCUACUCUUCUCCACCCUCUCUGUGCCCCAGGGGACUAACCUAUCUGAAUUGCAUCAAAGAGUUCUGUUGCCCUCUGGUUUCUGGUUGUGUUCAGCCAAUGGAAGUCUCUCUGGAGACUGAAGUCAGGGCAAUUAUUCCCCGUUUAUUCCUAGGGGCUCUCACUGGUAGAUACGAAUAGGUUGGCUGGUCCUUCUUGCAGAGGCUGUAGAUCCUGUCAAGUGUCCUUCUCUCUCCAGGUUUGAGUAGCUUUUUUCUCCCUUCACACCAUCUGAUGUAGGGGAGUAGUACCUCCCUACAAUUGCUAGUCCUGGAUUAAAGCAUUAUGCUUAAUUGAUUUCCUGUAACCUUUCCCAUACUUUUGUAGUCUCUCUAUUAAAUGCUCCUCAGUUAUCCAGUUUGAGGCUAAUCCAGAGCCAUCUCUUUCUGCCAGAACCUGAGGGAUACAUAAUCCAUUUGGUCUUCAAAAUAGAGGAAAAUGAGGUAGUUUUAAAAGACAUAAUCAGACUUGCCAUUUGAAUAAUUUAUUGCUUGGUGGUGAAUGCUCAAUGGAAUAUCACAGCAAGGCUUUAGACUUUUUGCAAUGCGUUAAAGAAAGUCUUUGGUAAAGGGAACUGAGGCCUGUUGGCAUCUAUAUGAGCUAGGACUCACUUUAAGAUUUUGGAUUCUCUUCCAGUCUGUCACUCACAGAAACUACCUUUUAGUGCAACCAUGGUGGGAUUCUUCUUUGUUAUCCAUAGUAGCUCUAAGUAAGCAUCACAAUGCUCUCACAAACUUACAUUUUCACUUCUGCCGGUCUAAAAAGAGGGCUACUUGAAUUUCUGUGAAUAAAUGAAUAAAGAAAUAAUCUAGAAAUGCACACCAAAUUAAAUGGCAGCAAUCUAUAUGCAAGUAAAGCAUUCAUUUACAUUCAUUGAAUUUAUAUCCUGUGAUUAUUUGCUUUAAUUUUUUUUGUACCAUCUAUGUAAAAAGGGUUUCCUGAGAAAAUUAACAAUAUUAAUAAAACUAACAGGUUUACGUUAAAAACUACUCAAGAGAACAAACCUUCCAUGGGUCUUUAUAUACUUCAGAAGGACAUAGCUGUAAAUAUGCCAAUUUCAAAUUAUUCAUCGAAGUAAUUUCUCAACUAGGUAUCAUAUAAUUACUGCAUGUAUUUUAAGUAGUAAGUUUACUUUAAUGUAAUUUAUCUUUUAAACUUUUUACCACGUUAGCCUUUUCUUCAGUUAGUCUGAAUGAUGAGCACUGAUGAGCUUUUUUAGUGAUAAAGUGUUAAAAGAAUUACCAUACUGAAUAUACAUAAUAGAGUUAUAGCAGGUAGAUAUUCAGUAUUAACCUGAGGGUAUGGAGUAUAUUCAGUAGUCAAGAUGAAGCAAAAUAUUAUUUAUACUUUAAGUUGAGAACACUUUAUUAAGUCAAUCAAGAUACUUUCCACCUCAUCUAGGUUUUCCUGACUCUCCACUUACAGCACAAUUUUUACACUGGACAGCAGUUCAAACUAAUAAUAAGUAUAUGGUUGCUAUAUUUUUUCAAACUAUAACAUCUGUUUAUGGUGAUAAUGGAACAAAAUAUUUGAAAUUGUCCCGACCUAAGGAAAAAAAUCUAAGCCAUAAGGUUGCUAUGUGUACAAUGUUUUACGUGUAACACAUUUCCUCUCAAUCUCUUUUGUGAAAGGAAAAUCAAAAUGGAGUCAGUAUUGCUAAGAGAGCUUUCUAAAAUGGAGCUGGGAGACCAUUGAGGAAGUGUGACUUAUGUGCAUCUCAGCCCAGAUGGAAUCUCACCUUUUGAACACUUAUUGUCCUACUCAAGACACUUAUCCAUCAUGUACCCUAAAACAACUUGUGACAACCUAUCUGCUUAUUGAAUCCUUACCCUAAAACAACUCAUGAUUCCUUAAGCACAAAUAUCCCCUGACUUGCAUCAGAGUCAAUCACAAUUCUCUCGCAAGUUAACAACCUUGUGGCUUUUGUCUUUUUAAACUCCUGACUGAUUCUCUUCUUCGAGCAGUCUUUCGGUUUCAUCCGAAUCUGUGUCUCCCAAAUUGCAAUUCUUAAGACUCCAAAGCUCUUUGUUCUUUGCAGCCUCAAUACUGAUUAUUGUUUGACAUUUUCAACAGCACAACUGCUUUAAAAGUAUGUACCAGUCUCCACAGAAAUCUAAUAGAUUUAAGAAAAUAUGUGUUAUAAUAAUAGUUAAUAAUACCCAAGAGUUCUAUAGCAUGAAUUAGUGCUUCACUGUGCUGGGCACCCUUGUUGAUUAAAGGGUACAAUAAAAUAUGGUUCCUGCUUUUAAGGAGAAUAAAAUUUAAGAGAAGUGAGCUAUCGACACUAGGCAGUAUAAGAAGCCUUUACAUUUCAAAGGACAGACUUGCUGAGGACUAUUAGAUGAAGAAAGGCAGUGUGUGCAGACUGCUGGCUACGGUGGUAAUCUGGGCUUUAGUCCUGGCUACAUCAUAUGCUAGUUAUAUGACCUUGACUAAAUAUCCUGAGACAAGGUUCUCAAAAUGAAGAUGGUUACUUACCUGACUACCCCACAAAAUCACUGGGAAGAUCUGUCUUACACCCUCAACUUUUCUUUAGUUUCCUUUGAUAUAUUAUCUAGAAUUCCAUCUUCAGCUGUCUUAUCUUUUCAAUUCCAUAAUGUCUUCCAAAGAAACGGCCUGGAUAUACCAAAGUCCCCUUAAGCCCCACAUACCCAAAAACUAUAUCAAUAAUCAGAUUUAUUAGACAGAGCACGUUUAAGAUGAUAGCAGAAUUUUCCCCAUUGUAAUUUUCACACCUACGACUUCAAUUACCAGUACAUUUAAGUUGGGAAAGUAAAUAAAAUUGUGAUCAUAUUUUCAUUUUCAAAAAAGUAACACUCCAGCAUCAGAUUGCAGGAAAAAAAUAGAGGGAAAAGGAAUGGAGCAUCCAGGCAAAAGAUUACGAGCUCAGGCAAUGGUAGUGGGCAUGGAUCAUAGUUAAAAAGGUAUUUAGGAGGAGGAUAGGCAGAUAUUUUUCCCCUCUGUGUUUUGGAACAUAGAAGCAUUGGGAUAAUCUGAUCUUUGGAGGUUUGCUAGAAUUCCCUCGUGAAACCAUUUUGGCCUUGUGCUUUUGGUGGGCUAGUGUUUUGAAAAACUGUCUCUAUUUCUUUUAUGAAAAUUAGUUUGUUUGACAUUUUAUAUACACCAGGGUUAAUAUUCUGAAUGUAUAUAUUUCAUCUAGGUGUUACAAGUUAUUAGCAGAGUUGUACCAUGUAAACUCUCAUGAUUUUUUAAAAAAAAUCCUGUUUUUAUGGUUGUUUACUUGUCAUUUCUUAUUUUGUAUAUUUGUGUUUCUUUUUUGCUUGAUUAAUUAGCUAGUGGAUUCUGUAUUUUGCUAAUAUUUCCAAAAAACCAACAUUUUAACUUUUUAAUUAAAUCUUUUUUUCUGUUUAUAACUCAUUAUUUUUGCCUUGUUUUUUAAAGAUUUUUUUUGAGGUGGACCAUUUUUAAAGUCUUUAUUGAAUUUGUUACAAUAUUGCUUCUGUUUUAUGUUUUGGUUUUUUGGCCACGAGGCAUGUGGGAUCUUAGCUCCCCGACCAGGGAUUGAACCCGCACUCCCUGCCUUGGAAGGUGAAGUCUUAACCACUGGACCACCAGGGAAGUCCCUUUUUGCCAUUAUUUUUAAUAUCCCCACUUUUUCUGUUUAUUUUUGACUGCUCCCCAGUAAAAUUUUUAUAUAUUUGUGAAGAAUUGACAUCUUUGUGAUAUUAAAUAAGUCCUAUUUAAGAACAAGGAAUGUCUUUCUGUUAAUUCAAGUGGUUAUUUAUUUAUUGUCAUCCUUUUAUUUUUUUCUGUAUAACCAUUUAAGGCCAUGAUUUUUUUUUAAUGUAAAAGGACAUUUUAUUUAUUUUGAAAUUUUUAAUUUUAUUGAAUUUAUUUUUUAUACAGAAGGUUCUUAUUCUUAUCUAUUUUAUACAUAUUAGUGUAUAUACGUUAAUCCCAAUCUCCCAAGUCAUCCCACCACCACCACCCCCUCCACUUUCCCCCCUUGGUGUCCAUACGUUUGUUCUAGGCUAUGAUUUUUUUCUCUGAUCUUCAUUCAUUAAUACUGACAAAUAGUGUCAUCAUUUCCAUUAUUUUUACAAAUAAUUCUGAAAUUUCAGUUCCCCUUUGCCUUGAGAGUUGUCUAAUAGAGAGUUAUUUAACUUUAGAUAGAAAGGCCUAUUUAUGUUUUAAUUUUGCUAUUAAGUUCUAUAUUUUUUAUAUGAGAGAAUUAUUUUUGUAUCAUUCUACUUUGUUAAACUCAUUGAGAUUUUCUUUGGACCAUAAUAUAUUGUCUAUCUUCAUGAAUGUUUAUGUGCUCUUGAAAAGAAAAUGCAUCAAUAUUUGGGAUGCAAAGUCUGAUGUAUAUUCACAUACUUUAUUGCUUAUGUUGUUUAGGGCUUCUAUAUCUUUAUUUUUUGUCAACUCCUCUUGGACUAAGAGUGAUAUAUUAAAAUUGUGCAUUACUGUGUG